AAUCGGUAGACGCUACGGACUUAAAAAAUCCGUCGACUUUAAAAAUCGUGAGGGUUCAAGUCCCUCUAUCCCCA
rnacentral:tRNA from 1 species